UACGGAGGGUGCAAGCGUUAGUCGGAAUUACUGGGCGUAAAGGGUGCGUAGGUGGAGAUACAAGUCGAAUGUGAAAUUCCGGGGCUUAACCUCGGAGCUGCAUUCGAAACUGUAUUUCUAGUCGGAUGGCGGAGAAAAUGGAAUUCCACGUGUAGCGGUGAAAUGCGUAGAUAUGUGGAAGAACACCUGUGGCGAAAGCGGUUUUCUAGCCUACCCGAGACACUGAGGCACGAAAGUAAGGGGAGCAAACAGG
rnacentral:rRNA from 1 species